rnacentral:rRNA from 1 species
GACGGGGGGUCCUAGCGUUGUUCGGAAUCAUUGGGCGUAAAGCGGGCGUAGGUGGCUAUGUAAGUCAGGAGUGAAAGCCCCUGGGCUCAACCCCAGGAAGUGCUUUUGAAACUGCGUAGCUUGAGUGUGGAAGAGGAUAGUGGAAUUCCUGGUGUAGUGGUGAAAUACGUAGAUAUCAGGAGGAACACCGGCGGCGAAGGCGGCUAUCUGGUCCAACACUGACACUGAGGCCCGAAAGCGUGGGGAUCAAACAGG